rnacentral:rRNA from 1 species
ACUCCUACGGGAGGCAGCAGUGCGGAAUAUUCCGCAAUGGGCGAAAGCCUGACGGGGCAAUGCCGCGUGGAGGUAGAAGGCCCACGGGUCGUAAACUUCUUUUCCCGGAGAAGAAGCAAUGACGGUAUCUGGGGAAUAAGCAUCGGCUAACUCUGUGCCAGCAGCCGCGGUAAUACA